rnacentral:lncRNA from 1 species
UUCGUGCUACAGUAUAUACUUCCACAAUCAAGUGUAAAAGUGAAAUUUAGUGUCAAGAAGCAUAUAUUUGCAAUGUUUAAUUGACAAGCGUGUGCCUUUACAAGUGUUUUAGCUCGUGUACAGUUGAUAUAAUGGAACUAGCCAUGAACUAUGCCAGCACAGUCUUGAUCAAAACAUUCCUGCAGAGUUUUGUUUAAACAUCUUUGGAACAAUAGAGUAUUUAAAGGCAUCCUAAUGAGGUUUUUACUCAAGUCUCGUCAUGGAAUCUUGACACGCAGCCAUCAUCUGAUCACACAUCAAGGUUGCAAGGCUACACUUUGUAACGAGAGUCUGGUGUAUAAAGCAUCAUGGUUGAUGUAAUAUCUUGCUCCUUUUGCAUGUCAUCGUUGGCUGUAGUAAUAAGCCUACUGUGUCAUCAGAACUGAAGCCACUACAUCUACUUCGGUGACUUCUUCACUCAAACAAGGAUUUUAGUACAUAUAUGUGUCAUAUUGAGUAUGAACGUCUCAUCAGAACCCAUUACUCAUGUUAAGAACAGAAGCUUGCGCUGAAUCUGGAGGUGGUAUACAAAAUAAGCUAUUUUUGAUAAAUAAUAUCACAUUUUUAAUGACAAAAAUCGUGUUAGACAGGCUUUGGUCUCUCAUGUAUACUGGCAUUGCCUGUUAAUUACAAAAUGCCAUCGAAGCCAUCAGUUGACCCAGACCAAAUGCUGCAAGUUUUAUCUCAAUUACUAGUUUUUGAUUUUAAGAGAAAAGAAUUGAUUCUCAAAUGCAGACAUUUAUACAGAGAAAAUCUGCCUCAUGCAAGUUAUGCAUUAUCGUUUUUAUAAUUCAAGAAAACAUUAAGCUAGUCAUUAUAAUUAUUUUUAUGUUACGUUUUAUUUU